rnacentral:lncRNA from 1 species
AAUUCCCCCGUUAAGUAGCCAUGCAUUAUCAUUGGAAACACCCACUUCUCUGGCAAAUAAAGCUCUUUUGAUCAUGUCUCCGAAUCAAUAACAGAAGUUUGACCUUACAUAUGCACAAACCCUCUAGUAAAUUCAAUCAAACACUUGACCUUCACUCUGUUGUAUUCGACCAUUGUGUCCAAUUGGUACUUCCUACAGAAAGAAAACAUUAUACAGUUAGAAUUGAUAUACAGUGCAUCGCAUCUGCGAUGGAUCAUGUUAUACAUUUCAAACCGAAGAUUCUAUAUUUAAUUCUAUCUUCAAUAUUCAAUAUAUAUGACCAAAAAUUUGCAAACUUUCUCAUCAACAACACCGACAGUAACUUAGUACACUAUGGUCAAAGAAUCCUUCUUCUGAAGCACAAUAAACAUUAAAAACAAACACACAGGGAAUACUAUAGUGAUACCAAAAGAAGGAAAUGGAUACCUGCAAUAGAUUAGCAAUAACAGAGUUCUCCUUGUUUGAGACACUAAACUCAAUUCCUGCAACUGUUUGCCUUCCUUCCAGUUUGCUUUAAGUUUCUUUUUCUAUUUUUAGCUCUUUAUUGAUUUUAAUUUGUCUUCUGAGAAUGCCGAAUAUAAGGAAACGAGGAAAAUGAUUGG